UGCUUGAGUAGUACUAGGUAUGUUCUUGAAACUUAAAGAAUUUGGCGGUAUCUUAUUCCAUUCAGAGGAAUCUGCCUCGUUAUCGAUAGUCCGCGUUGGACCUUGCUUAGUUGUUAUGGUUUGUAUACCGCCGUUUAUUGAUUAUUCUUUUAGGGUUUGUUAAUUUUCUGGUUUCUCUAUUUUGAUUUAUUUCAGGUCAAGGUGCAGCUUGUUUCUAAGUGUUAUUGGUGGAUUACAUUGUUCUUUGUUGUUUGGAUUGCUGGUUGAAUUAUUGGUAUGAAAUUGGAUUUGAUUGUAAUGUCUUGAAGAUUGUUUUCGUGAUAUGGGUUCUAAGAUAUG
rnacentral:rRNA from 1 species